ACCCUUGACCACGGUAUAGUCAGCGACUGGGGUGAAGUCGUAACAAGGUAGCCGUAGGGGAACCUGCGGCUGGAUUACCUCCUUUCUAAGGAUGAAUGAAAGUAAAAUUUCAUUCUAAAUAAUAUACAUAGGUAAUGUUGACCGUCCUCAUUUCUCUUCUUAAAGUAGUGUUUCUCUUGCAUAGGGGCCGGUAGCUCAGUUGGUUAGAGCACACCCUUGAUAAGGGUGGGGUCGAAAGUUCGAGUCUUUCUCGGCCCACCAAUUUAAGAUCAUGGGGGAUUAGCUCAGCUGGGAGAGCGCCUGAUUUGCAUUCAGGAGGUCAGCGGUUCGAUCCCGCUAUCCUCCACCAAAAAACACUCAGUUAUAAAAAAUUGUAAAUAAAAAUAAUAAUUAAUAUCAAUAUCUAUAUCCGAACAUUAGUAAUGUUAUUAGCUAAUGUUCAAAAUAAAAAUUUGAUUCAACACAGAAUUUUUUUCUGUGCAUAAAUCAAGCGUUUAAGGGCGUGUGGCGGAUGCCUUGGCACUGAAAGCCGAAGAAGGACGUGAUAUACUGCGAUAAGUUUCGGGGAGCUGUAUGUAAGUUUUGAUCCGAAAAUUU
rnacentral:misc_RNA from 1 species